AUGAAGUGCAGAUUUGUAUUAGGAAUCCUGUGGAGUGAUCAUAUGGAAAUGUCGAUUUCCUAUAUUGGGUUUGGGAAUAAAUGUCAUAAGCUUAGAUACAGUACACACUAUUAUAGUGUCAACUGCUGUACUGCACAAUAUUGCUUGUUAAUUUGGAGAGGAGUAGCUUAAAGUAAUUAAUUUGCAAGGCAAGCACAUCAAAUUAAUUUGACAUUAUUUUGUCAACAACCUUAUGCUAUAAAUAAUCAAGGAAGAAAUCAGUGUAUGAAUAGAAAACGCUUCUAAUGCAAGUAUUCCCAUCUCCGUAGCAUGUUUUUCAGCUUGAAAUCUUAUACUAUCUUAUACUUCAUUUUUUAAC